CAUAAAUGAAAACCAUCUACAGUAUUCUUGCUACUAUUCACUCGCAUUAAGGAGUACUGUAGCUAAUUGUGUAAUCAUAGAUGUACAAUGUAACUAUAUGUUGACAUAGAAUCAAUACCAUACAGCAUGUUUCAUCGAUAGUAUCAUAUGUAAUAAUGUCAUAUUUUAUUGUUUAUUUAUAGUGCCUUAUCUUCCGUUCUUUCGAAAUAAACAAUAAUAAACUGUAAAUAAUUUAUACAAGGUAUGUCAACAACAUGAUAUAUGGCUGUGAAAUAAUUAUGUAUCUUCUAAAUCUAGUUUUGUUUUGUUCCGGUGUUGAAUCACAGUUAAGAAUUAUAUCUUCCAAUGAUAAAUAUGCGAUUAACAUAUUAGUUCAGCAAUGAUGCUUAAAAGACCACAGAAUUAUUUUCCCGUGUAGCUGUUGUUGAUUUCGUUGGACAAAACUAGUUCGGUGGAAUCAAAAUGUUCCUUGUUCAGUUGUUUUGCUGAACUUUCUACUUACUUUUUGUACUUAAAAUCAUUGUUAUGAUUGCGAAAAAGUGUGGAAGAAGAGCUCCCUUAGUUCCAAAAUAACGUGAUAUUGGUAAAUUUCGGAUUCUCUUACAUGCAGCUUCCCGGAUGCCCAAAGAAAAAGCAAAGACAAGCUGGCUCAAUUUUACUUUGCUUAUAUUUUAUUUUCAAGGAGAUCAAAAUAUAUAUCUUAC